GCAAGUCGAACGCUUCUUUCCUCCCGAGUGCUUGCACUCAAUUGGAAAGAGGAGUGGCGGACGGGUGAGUAACACGUGGGUAACCUACCCAUCAGAGGGGGAUAACACUUGGAAACAGGUGCUAAUACCGCAUAACAGUUUAUGCCGCAUGGCAUAAGAGUGAAAGGCGCUUUCGGGUGUCGCUGAUGGAUGGACCCGCGGUGCAUUAGCUAGUUGGUGAGGUAACGGCUCACCAAGGCCACGAUGCAUAGCCGACCUGAGAGGGUGAUCGGCCACACUGGGACUGAGACACGGCCCAGACUCCUACGGGAGGCAGCAGUAGGGAAUCUUCGGCAAUGGACGAAAGUCUGACCGAGCAACGCCGCGUGAGUGAAGAAGGUUUUCGGAUCGUAAAACUCUGUUGUUAGAGAAGAACAAGGACGUUAGUAACUGAACGUCCCCUGACGGUAUCUAACCAGAAAGCCACGGCUAACUACGU
rnacentral:rRNA from 1 species